rnacentral:lncRNA from 1 species
AUUCUUAGCCAUAUUCAGUUCUCAGUGUGUAGGCCUUAUCUUCUAUGCAAGGCUUUUGGAAACUGAUACAGUUCUUCAGACUUUUUUUUUCUUUUUGCCUUUUACAAAACAAUCUGAAGAGAACAUUAUUUUAUAUAAUUUUUAAUGUAUUUUAAUUGGGGAUGAGUUUGCAGCUGUGCCUGUAAAAUGUUUCUUGUCAAAUCAUCAGAUUCUUCAAAAACUACUAAGAGGAUUUAAAACAUCAAUUCAUGCUGGUUUCAUCAUUUUACAUUUCUUAAUUUCUUUCUCUCUGACUUAAGAUCCACUAUAUGAAUGUGUUUCAAUUAUUUUACUAAAUCUAGAAAGGACACUUAUAAACUGACUUGUUUGACAUUUUUUCAUUUUUAAUAGAGGUGUAUCAUUAUGGACCUGUACCAGCCACACAUUAACCACUGUAACCUACAUCUUCUUUUUAAAGGUACGUAGAGAAUACAGGAAAUUCUUCAGAGCCAAUGCUGGAAAGAAAAUCUAUGAGUUUACGCUUCAGAGAAUUGUGCAAAAAUACUUCUUGGAAAUGAAAAAU